ensembl:lincRNA 4833403J16Rik RIKEN cDNA 4833403J16 gene
UGUGGUUUCUCCAGGCCAUGUGCUUUUGUGCUGCUUUUCUUCCUCCUCCUCCUCCUCCUCUAUGUCCUCCCCCUCUCCCAUUUUUUUCCUUCUUCUCUCUCCUCACCUUCCACUCCACCUUUCCUUUAUCUGCCCAAUUGACAGCUCUCCUUUAUUUUACAAAUUAAGGUGGGAAGCAGGUUUACAGGAAAUCACCUGAGUGCUGACUCAUUUCUUGUUCACAACCCCUCACAGGAGAACAGAAUUAAAAUCAAAUGUAAUUAGACCCAGGGCUAUCCACAACACUAAUCCACACAGGCGAAAUCAUGAGACUUUUGGCAAAGAUGCAAAAAAUAUAUAUUAGAAAAAAGACAGCAUGAGCAGGUGAUUUAACUAAGCCUUUACUAGGUCCCUGAGAGCAGGCCAGCUGAAUCACUGUACUACUAACAAUUGGCUGUACACUAACAAUAUAGGUAAAUAAAAAUAUCACACACACACACACACACACACACACACACACACACACACACACACACAUAUAUAUAUACACACACACACACAUGUAUAUAUAUGAAUGGUACAAAAGAGAAGUGAAAUUGUCCCGGGGAAUAGAGGGACUAAUGAGAGGAGAAAGGUAGGUAUGGAAUGUGGGGGUUAUGCUAACGGUGUAAGCCCCCAACUCAAUCUGUUUCUUAGACCCCUAGAAACAAAGCCCAGCAUGGAGUUCUUUUGCCUUCAGCCUGAAAAACCGAUGACCACUGGGUGACCCACCUAAUUCCAGGAACUGGCUCACCACAAUCUUGACCCACCCAGGUGCCAUUGUGUGCCAUUGUGUAAGGGACCAAGAAUGUUUGCCAAAGAUAGCCUGUAACCUUUUCAUAAGAGAUGAGUUGUAAUUCAUCAUCCCCAUUCUUAUGAUGUUUACUCAGCUUCCCCCUUCUUUAUGUUUUUUUUUCCUUUAAAAAACCCUCAACUGCAACUGCUGAGGGUUGAUCUCCUCUGCCCCUGUGCGGGUUAUGAGCUCGGCCUUAGCAUGCUGAUUCCUGAAUAAACUUCAUGCGAUAUUGCAUC